rnacentral:lncRNA from 1 species
GAAAACUCCAGAAACAACCAAUACUCAUUGGCAUACAUUAACGGUCUGCAGUCAGCUCUCUUAGUCUCUGUGAUGGCUAUUGCAAACUUCUGCUGGAUUCCUUUAGCCUUGACUAUCAUCAGUAUGAAUUGAAGAAACAAGAUUGUCCUUUGAACUAAAAUCCUGUUCAUCCUCAUUGUCACUACCAACGACUGGAAUUCCUGCAAGAUCCCCAGAGUUCAAAAAAUAAUCAUCUUCAUCCAGCAAUGAAUUUUCAGAUCCUGUUUGAUUCGGCAUUCCAUAAGACAUGCUGUCAAGGGUAGGAGUUAAGUUGUGGUCUAUAUCUUCAGACAUUUCUGUAUCCAUGAUACCACCACCUUAAAAAGUAAAAUACUGUUUAGACAAAUGAUAGUGCUAAAGAUGACCACAAUGAUAAGGUCAGUCUGGUAUUUAACCAAAUAAAUAUUUUUUCAAACAAAAAAAAAAAAA